CUUAAUUCUUAUGAGAUUGCUCUGGUCAGGGAGGGUCGUUUGGAAGGCAUUGAGAUGGAACUUUAAUAAGGCACAGGCAGGGGAAUAGUCGUACAUCAAGACGACUGCCAGGCGUGGGCUAUUCCACAACCACGGUGCAUCCAACCGGGUCAGUGCCAGGUUCUUUCGAGUCACCGGUCCACCUAGUUGUUCUUAGGCAGUUUACCUGCGGUCUCAACACAAUGAUUCUCCUCUUCAAAUAGACAUCGGUCUUUAGACCUAAUUAAUAUUCUGACAACUAUUUUGUAUUAAUUUUUGUAACUUAUUUAAUAUUCUUGGAAUUAAGUCUAUUGUAAUUGGAUAUGUAUGGUAUAUAUAUGGAAAACGAAAUUAAGGAUCCUGGUUUUUAGUUUGUUAUUUUUUUAUAAUUUAGGUACAUUAAAUACUGUUAUUUAAAAAGGUACAAGUAAAAAGAAAGUUAUUUAAAAGUAUCUAUUAAGAGAGUAAAAUAUGUAUAACUUAAUUAAAUAUACUAAUUACAUUUCUGUCCAAUGGUACAAAACAAUAAACUUCAAACUGUUUUAUCACAAAUAAAAUGUAAAAUAAAUUGAUUAUCUUAAUAUAAUUUAUACAAUGUCUCAUCAUCAUUACCAUUUUUAAGCUAAACGUGUAAUCCUCAUGCAAUUAAAACAUAAGUUGUGCUGUGGAAAAGUCUACUUGAAUUUAAAAUUAAACUAUCUAUCUUAAUAAUUUUAAAAAUAAUCUGGAUAAA